rnacentral:rRNA from 1 species
GUCUACGGCCAUACCACCCUGAACGCGCCCGAUCUCGUCUGAUCUCGGAAGCUAAGCAGGGUCGGGCCUGGUUAGUACUUGGAUGGGAGGAAUGCGCAUCUAUACAAUGGGUCUCGUGUAGU